GAAAUGCGAUACCUGGUGUGAAUUGCAGAAUCCCGUGAACCAUCGAGUCUUUGAACGCAAGUUGCGCCCGAGGCCUUUGGGUCGAGGGCACGCCUGCCUGGGUGUCACACCUAGCAUCGAACCGCACCAACUGCCCUCUUGGGCAGUGUGCGGCUUUGGAGAUUGGCCUCUUGUGCACUCAAAUGCGGUGGGCUUAAGAGAGGGUUGUCGGCCGGGUCGGCACGACGAGUGGCGGACUUCGUUCCAGCAGGAUGUCGUGUCCCCGGUCUUCGAAGAGCCGAAGACACCCGGAUCGGGCGUGCAUAUGCACUUCCACUCGGGAGGGCGUGUCGCCUCACAACGUGACCCCAGGUCAGGCGGGGACACCCGCUGAGUUUAA
rnacentral:misc_RNA from 1 species